CGUAUGAUCCGGGAGCCCGGGCUGAUCAGCUGCUGCUCCCCGGGGUCUGUGCGGGGGAGAUCUCGUCAUUAAAGCUCCUUCCCUGCCACGCCGGGCGAGCUGGGACGUUCUCCAGGGGAACCAGCCUCCUAGAGCCCCGGACUCUGUCACCAUCAGCUCCGGCGCCAGAGACUCCAGGCUGCAGGAUGACGUCCAUGUUUUGCUCCACCUCAUCCCAUCCUCUCAUGGGACAGGAAAGGGAAAUGGCUGCAGUUGAGCCAGUUCAGGGGCCGAUGAUCUUUGAGGAGGUGGCUGGGUAUUUCGCCAGGGAAGAGGGGGCUCUGUUGGACCCCACUCAGAGAGCCCUGUACAGAGACAUCAUGGAGGAGAACUAUGAGACGGUGAUCUUGCUGG